rnacentral:lncRNA from 1 species
GUGGGCUUGGUAAGGAAUUCAGGCAUAGUCUCACAAAAUGUGUAAAAGUUAAACUGGACCAGCCCUUCCUCUACUGUGUAUGGGAGAAAGGAAUUGGCGUGUAAAGGCCAAAAAGAGAAAGCAUGGAUUGUCGUGUUUUGAAUGAGAGUUUGCACGUAUUUUGUAGAAGGGAUAGAGGAAAUUGGGGCAGCUGAAUCUGUUCAAUGUGGAACCUUGGGAGAAAAAUGGAUGAAGAAGAUUUUUAGAGAAAUUUUUGCUAUAUAUUGUUGGAUUUUAAAAAUGGAGUGCUCAAGUGCUUACAGAGAUUCAAACGUGCCGUCCAUUUGGACUUAUUCUCAUGGCAGCGUAAUAUGUUAUUGAUUAGUGGAGAGUCCAGAACGUGUGAUGCUCUUUGUAACUGCAGGCUGGUGGAUGACUUCUACGCAAAAUGACGACCAGAAUCAAAAGGUUUCUGAGAAGUAUUAAGACUGAAAACAAAAACCGUCCUACUGAACUGAAGAAAACAAAGCCGGUGAAUCCCAACUUGCGGGAAUCAAAGAGACCUUCCAGCUCCAGGCAGACCUCAUCCCAACUCCAGAGAAGACCACACUUCAGCUCUUGUCCAUAGGAGAAUCUCAACUAGAGAUGCCUAGAAGAAUGAGAAUCCACCUUGGACCUAUCACUUCAGAAAUGCUGAUUACACUACACUCAUCAGAAUCCAUGUAGAUGACUCAAAUUGUGCUACGGCACCCUCGUCUCAAAGUGAGGUGAGCUUUACAAAGCCGGGAAUGGAAUGGA